rnacentral:misc_RNA from 1 species
UAAUGUAGAUUUCACAUUACGCCUAAAUAUACCACCAAACACAACAUAUAUAUAGUCUUCUAUCUUGGUAUGGAACCCCCUUGUGACUUCGUCACCAUUUUGUUUCAGCAGUUCAUUUCAUACGCUGCAAGGCCCAUCAACUCUGGACCUUCCAAGCGAGGAUUGUUCUCGAAGUUGUUCAAGGGGAUGUGCUCGAAAGGCCCCGCAGUAGGAAUGGUUCCACAUAAGUCAUUGCUUGAAACGUCUACGACUUUAAGGCUAGAUACUCCGACAAGUUCUCUCGGGAUUCGUCCAGUUAAAUGGUUGUCAUUAAGACGCAAGAAUACUAGAGAGUUCAGCUUUCCAAGUGAUGGAGGGAUAAAUCCUGUAAUGUUGUUGUUAUAUAAAUCCAAGCUAAUCAGGCUCUUCAGAUUGCCUAGCUCUGCCGGGAUAGUCCCUUGAAGAUUAUUUUUGUAAAGUUCCAGAUACUGCAACUUCUCAAGCUUUCCAAGUUCUGGUACAAGAUGGCCAGACAAAUUUGAAUUUCCCAAGUCCACUCGGGUGACGCGAUUAUCCUGGUUGCAGGUG